GCUGGCGGCAGGCCUAACACAUGCAAGUCGGACGGUAACAGGAGAGAAGCUUGCUUUUCUUGCUGACGAGUGGCGGACGGGUGAGUAACGCGUGGGAAUCUACCCUUUAGUUGGGGACAACAUAUGGAAACGUAUGCUAAUACCGAAUAUGCUCUACGGAGUAAAGGUGCCCUCUCCUUGGAAGGUAUCGCUAAAGGAUGAGCCCGCGUUAGAUUAGCUAGUUGGUAGGGUAAAGGCCUACCAAGGCGACGAUCUAUAGCUGGUUUGAGAGGAUGAUCAGCCACACUGGGACUGAGACACGGCCCAGACUCCUACGGGAGGCAGCAGUGGGGAAUAUUGCACAAUGAGGGAAACCUUGAUGCAGCCAUGCCGCGUGUGUGAAGAAGGCCCGAGGGUUGUAAAGCACUUUCAAUUGUGAGGAAGAUUAAGUAGCUAAUACCUGCUUAGUUUGACGUUAACUUUAGAAGAAGCACCGGCUAACUCUGUGCCAGCAGCCGCGGUAAUACAGAGGGUGCAAGCGUUAUUCGGAAUUACUGGGCGUAAAGCGCGCGUAGGCGGACUGUUAAGUCGGUUGUGAAAGCCCUGGGCUCAACCUAGGAACUGCAUCCGAUACUGGCAAUCUAGAGUUUAAGAGAGGGAAGUGGAAUUCCAGGUGUAGCAGUGAAAUGCGUAGAUAUCUGGAGGAACAUCAGUGGCGAAGGCGACUUCCUGGCUUAAAACUGACGCUGAGGUGCGAAAGCUUGGGUAGCGAACGGGAUUAGAUACCCCGGUAGUCCAAGCCGUAAACGAUGUCAACUAGCUGUUGGUCUUAUUAAAAAGAUUAGUAGCGCAGCUAACGCGAUAAGUUGACCGCCUGGGGAGUACG
rnacentral:rRNA from 1 species